rnacentral:rRNA from 1 species
UACGGAAGGUCCGGGCGUUAUCCGGAUUUAUUGGGUUUAAAGGGAGCGCAGGCGGUCUGCUAAGCGUGACGUGAAAUGUACGGGCUCAACCUGUGCAGUGCGUCGCGUACUGGCGGACUUGAGUGCACUCGAGGCAGGCGGAAUUCGUGGUGUAGCGGUGAAAUGCUUAGAUAUCACGAGGAACCCCGAUUGCGAAGGCAGCCUGCCAGGUUGCAACUGACGCUAAUGCUCGAAGGUGCGGGUAUCGAACAGG